rnacentral:rRNA from 1 species
AGAGUUUGAUCAUGGCUCAGAUUGAACGCUGGCGGCAUGCUUUACACAUGCAAGUCGAACGGCAGCACGGGUGCUUGCACCUGGUGGCGAGUGGCGAACGGGUGAGUAAUGUAUCGGAACGUAUCCGGAAGUGGGGGAUAACGUAGCGAAAGUUACGCUAAUACCGCAUAUGCCCUGAGGGGGAAAGUGGGGGACCGUAAGGCCUCACGCUUUCGGAGCGGCCGAUAUCAGAUUAGCUAGUUGGUGAGGUAAAGGCUCACCAAGGCUUCGAUCUGUAGCUGGUCUGAGAGGACGACCAGCCACACUGGGACUGAGACACGGCCCAGACUCCUACGGGAGGCAGCAGUGGGGAAUUUUGGACAAUGGGGGCAACCCUGAUCCAGCCAUGCCGCGUGAGUGAAGAAGGCCUUCGGGUUGUAAAGCUCUUUCAGAUGGGAAGAAACGGUUACGGAUAAUACCUGUAGCUAAUGACGGUACCGUCAGAAGAAGCACCGGCUAACUACGUGCCAGCAGCCGCGGUAAUACGUAGGGUGCGAGCGUUAAUCGGAAUUACUGGGCGUAAAGCGUGCGCAGGCGGUUUUUCAAGCCAGAUGUGAAAUCCCCGGGCUCAACCUGGGAACUGCAUUUGGAACUGGAAGGCUAGAGUACGGCAGAGGGGGGUAGAAUUCCACGUGUAGCAGUGAAAUGCGUAGAGAUGUGGAGGAAUACCGAUGGCGAAGGCAGCCCCCUGGGUCGAUACUGACGCUCAUGCACGAAAGCGUGGGGAGCAAACAGGAUUAGAUACCCUAGUAGUCC